AAAACUUUCAACAACGGAUCUCUUGGUUCUGGCAUCGAUGAAGAACGCAGCGAAAUGCGAUAAGUAAUGUGAAUUGCAGAAUUCAGUGAAUCAUCGAAUCUUUGAACGCACAUUGCGCCCGCCAGUAUUCUGGCGGGCAUGCCUGUCCGAGCGUCAUUUCAACCCUCGAACCCCUCCGGGGGGUCGGCGUUGGGGAUCGGCCCUCCCUCUGCGGGGGCCGUCUCCGAAAUCCAGUGGCGGUCUCGCCGCAGCCUCUCCUGCGCAGUAGUUUGCACACUCGCACCGGGAGCGCGGCGCGUCCACAGCCGUUAAACACCCAACUUUCUGAAAUGUUGACCUCGGAUCAGGUAGGAAUACCCGCUGAACUUAAGCAUAUCAAUAAGCGGAGGAAAAGAAAACCAACAGGGAUUGCCCCAGUAACGGCGAGUGAAGCGGCAACAGCUCAAAUUUGAAAUCUGGCCCCUAGGGUCCGAGUUGUAAUUUGUAAAGGAUGCUUUUGUGAGGUGCCGCCCGAGUUCCCUGGAACGGGACGCCACAGAAGGUGAGAGCCCCGUCUGGCUGGCCGCCGAGCCUCUGUAAAGCUCCUUCCACGAGUCGAGUAGUUUGGGAAUGCUGCUCAAAAAUGGGAGGUAUAUGU
rnacentral:rRNA from 1 species